AGAAAUAAUAAUUUUAAUCGUAUUUACAAGAUACGUCGAUGCCUUUGUAGAUUGUGACCCAGAUGAUGAAAAAAUAGCACACAAUGCUACCAAACUUGUAGAUUAUUUGAAAGAAAUUCACAUUAAAUGUGAGGCGAUAUCCGCUUACGAAGGUUCCGUGGCGCGCUUGCCUUGUGGUCCUGUUAAAGAAGGCCAGAAGACAACUUGGAUGUAUGCAGAGUCAAUAUACAAUAUCUCUUUCACACCUAUGGAGGAGAAGGAGACAGCAGUGGAAGAUGGUAACCUAACCAUAUACUACGUGAGACAAUCCGACAAGGGAGUGUAUCAGUGCAAUAUAGACUCUGUUGCCAAUAGUUUAGUUGUCUUGCAAAUUCUUGGCGAUGAAGAUAAAUAUAAUGUGGUAAGUAAAUGCUUUUUUUCUGUAUAUUUCCGUGCACUAAUAAUAUAUGUUUUCAGGUGAAGCCGUUAACAUCUGG